rnacentral:lncRNA from 1 species
UAGCAACGUGAAUUAAGAAAUUGCAAUGUAAACAAUGCCAGCCAAGAGCCCCACUCCUAACUUCUACCCUGGUUCUCCUCCUGAUAUGACUUAACCUAACAGGCCUAUAACAACCUAUCCUAUUAGUGUCUUCCUGACGGCUCACCUUCACUCAACCCGUCCAUAAUCUCAUCAUCACACGCUCUUCCCUUCCCAUCACAACUCUUGCGCUGUCACUUCAAUACU